rnacentral:rRNA from 1 species
GACGAACCGUGCAAACGUUAUUCGGAAUCACUGGGCAUAAAGGGCGCGUAGGCGGUUCCACAAGUCAGGGGUGAAAUCCGGCAGCUUAACUGUCGCAGUGCCUUUGAUACUGAGGAGCUCGAGGGAGGUAGGGGUGUGUGGAACUUCCGGUGGAGCGGUGAAAUGCGUUGAUAUCGGAAGGAACGCCGGUGGCGAAAGCGACGCACUGGACCUCUUCUGACGCUGAGGCGCGAAAGCCAGGGGAGCAAACGGG